AUGUACUGUAUACAUGGCAGUAACAAAAGUGUCCGUUAUGUCUCUCGCGCACACCUGACACGUCUCUGGACCGGCGGCGACAUAAUGGAUGUCUUAUCACUAUCGGGGAUUUUAAAUUUGAUUUUAAUGAAAGCACAGCAGGAGAGAGCUUUUCUCUGCCUGCUCCUUCAAUUAAGACACCUCAUUAAUAAACACCCAUGUCCCGUCGCUUAGCAACCGGACACGCUUACCGGACUACUUUUACGGAGUGAUAACAAAGACGUGAAUCAGGCAAUAAAUCCACUUUCCUUGACAGUGGUCAAGUUCGGUGUGCUUAAAAGUACCGACGGAGCUCAGUGAACUACUGCGGCUGCUCUAAGUUAAACCCCAAUCUAUGCGGAAUAAGUGUAAACGCGGCGUUUACAUGGACACAUCUAUGCCGCAUAGAUUUCUAUGCGGCAUAGAAAAUGGUCAUGUAUACGCCUCAUUUGGAAUACAAUUAUCUGUUCGGCAUAGAUUCUAUGCCGAAUAGAAUAGGUGGUGUAGUCCGUUUUAAAUCGCCAUGUAUACACUUAUUCCGCAUAGAUUGGGGUUUAACUUAGUGCAGCCGCAGUAGUUCGCAAUUGGUCCACUGAGCUCCGUCGGUACUUUUAAGCACCACGAACUUCACCGCUGUCAAGGAAAGUGGAUUUAUUGCCUGAUUCACUUCUUUGUUAUCACUCCGUAAAAGUAGUCCGGUAAGCGUGUCCGGUUGCUAAGCGACGGGACACAUGGGUGUUUAUUAAUGACGUGUUCGCGUAUCGUAGUGUCCGCGCUCGUCCGAGAUAACUGUAAAUGAGUAGGCUGCCUACUACUAGUACUUUUGCAGGCUGAAUGUUAAAAUACUUCUUAACUUAGAGAGAUGGCAGCUGCAGUAGUUCGCAAUUGGACCUUCGAGGAUUCCUGGUCACUAAAUUCCCGUAAGACCACUCUCUCCCACCAGUCUUGGCUGCGGACUCGCAUCCAAAUUCCUCUUGUUUGCGGCGGAGCUUAAGGUAAAUAUAAAGAUCUGACGAGAAAUUGACGUUGCUGCGCUGUCGUCCUCCUUCUUAAUUGAAGGAGCAGGCAGAGAAAAGCUCUCUCCUGCUGUGCUUUCAUUAAAAUCAAAUUUAAAAUCCCCGAUAGUGAUAAGACAUAGAGAUGUGUCAGGUGUGCGCGAGAGACAUAACGGACACUUUUGUUACUGCCAUGUAUACAGUACAUUCGGAACACAUUUUAGGAAGAGAUCUAUGCCGCAUAGAAAUCUAUGCGGAUCAGAUGUGCCAUGUAAACGCGGCUAGUGUUGUAUAAUGAGCGUAUACAUAACUGCUAUGACGCCCAAUCAUUUUGUUAAAGUAUCACUCCGCGCCUUGAAGUGGAAAUGUAUAAUAAUAAUAUAUAUAUAAUAUAAUAAUGUAUAAAAGCAAUAGCACAGUUCACUGAAGCCUAAAAUCGGCGAGUGAACUGCUCCAUAGGAUAAAUUGCCGGCAAACCGCUCUAGCCGAGCCUUCUCUCGGAGGGACGCUAAAGUGUGUUGCAUAGCGACCGUCGUGCAUUUUGAAGGCAGCCAGGAGGGACUACAUUUUUGUAUUCUUUAAUAAAACGGCUACUUUGACUUUCUUGGUUUCUUUUUAAAUGUAGUGUGUCUAUGACUUUCGUUUUUCCAUGAUAGUAACCGUUGUAUAAAAGCAAUAGAUCACUUCAGUCAGUGGUAUGUGCUCAUUAUACCACUGUGAAGGGGGUCGCCGGCCCUCCGCUGUGCGUCGGGGCCGGACAACGCCCCUUAACAGUGGUAUAAUGAGCACAUACCACAGCCUGUCGUGAUCUAUUGCUUAACUAUACUAUUCCCCCGUUUCCAACAAGCGGUGUGGAUAGAUGCGGUGCGGUUAGGUGCGGCUCGCGUUUCCCGCCGACUGUACCCUUAUGGUAGGGCGGGGUUUAAGCCGGAUGGCGAUAGCAGCGGCAGCUACGUAAGCAUUGUGACAUCAUACUAGCGCGACACAGUGUAGCCUGCUAAAAAAUUCGAUGAAAAAGAAGAACUCCUCGCAUUAAAAAAAGAGCAACAAUGGAGGCCGUCCAAAAAGCUUUUCCGUCCAAAAAACUUUUGCGCGACAUUUUCAUCAAUCAACGAAGCUUUCGCCGUUGUCCUGAAAUACCUUGCGCGUUUGUUUGUUUUCAUCCCCCUGUCGCACAGAAGUAACGAUU
rnacentral:lncRNA from 1 species